CGAGGGCAGCAGAAAGCAAUACUUUGAUGGCGACCGGCGGACGGGUGCGUAACGCGUAUGCACCUACCUUAAACAGGGGGAUAACACUGAGAAAUUGGUACUAAUACCCCAUAUACGGCAUCGUGAAAACUCCGGUGGUUUAAGAUGGGCAUGCGUUGUAUUAGCUGGUUGGUGAGGUAACGGCUCACCAAGGCGACGAUACAUAGGGGGACUGAGAGGUCAACCCCCCACAUUGGUACUGAGACACGGACCAAACUCCUACGGGAGGCAGC
rnacentral:rRNA from 1 species